UGGCUCAGGACGAACGCUGGCGGCAUGCCUAACACAUGCAAGUCGAACGGAGAUUAUUUCGGUAAUCUUAGUGGCGAACGGGUGAGUAACGCGUAGGCAACCUGCCCUUUAGUUGGGGACAACAUCCCGAAAGGGGUGCUAAUACCGAAUGUGAUCGCUUUCUCGCAUGAGAGAGCGAUGAAAGAUGGCCUCUAUUUAUAAGCUAUCGCUAAAGGAUGGGCCUGCGUCUGAUUAGCUAGUUGGUGGGGUAACGGCUCACCAAGGCGAUGAUCAGUAGCCGGUCUGAGAGGAUGAACGGCCACAUUGGGACUGAGACACGGCCCAGACUCCUACGGGAGGCAGCAGUGGGGAAUCUUCCGCAAUGGGCGAAAGCCUGACGGAGCAAUGCCGCGUGAGUGAUGAAGGAAUUCGUUCCGUAAAGCUCUUUUGUUUAUGACGAAUGUGCAGACUGUGAAUAAUGGUUUGUAAUGACGGUAGUAAACGAAAAAGCAACGGCUAACUACGUGCCAGCAGCCGCGGUAAUACGUAGGUUGCAAGCGUUGUCCGGAUUUACUGGGUGUAAAGGGCGUGUAGGCGGAGCUGCAAGUCAGAUGUGAAAUCCCGGGGCUCAACCCCGGAACUGCAUUUGAAACUGUAGCCCUUGAGUAUCGGAGAGGCAAGCGGAAUUCCUAGUGUAGCGGUGAAAUGCGUAGAUAUUAGGAGGAACACCAGUGGCGAAGGCGGCUUGCUGGACGACAACUGACGCUGAGGCGCGAAAGCGUGGGGAGCAAACAGGAUUAGAUACCCUGGUAGUCCACGCUGUAAACGAUGAAUACUAGGUGUGGGAGGACUGACCCCUUCCGUGCCGCAGUUAACACAAUAAGUAUUCCACCUGGGGAGUACGACCGCAAGACUGAAACUCAAAGGAAUUGACGGGGGCCCGCACAAGCAGUGGAUUAUGUGGUUUAAUUCGACGCAACGCGAAGAACCUUACCAGGAUUUGACAUCCAACUAACGAAGCAGAGAUGCAUUAGGUGCCCUUCGGGGAAAGUUGAGACAGGUGGUGCAUGGUUGUCGUCAGCUCGUGUCGUGAGAUGUUGGGUUAAGUCCCGCAACGAGCGCAACCCCUAUUGUUAGUUGCUACGCGAGAGCACUCUAGCGAGACUGCCGUUGACAAAACGGAGGAAGGCGGGGACGACGUCAAAUCAUCAUGCCCCUUAUGUCCUGGGCUACACACGUAAUACAAUGGCCGUCAACAAAGGGAAGCGAAGCCGCGAGGUGGAGCAAACCCCCAAAAACGGUCUCAGUUCGGAUUGCAGGCUGCAACUCGCCUGCAUGAAGCUGGAAUUGCUAGUAAUCGUGGAUCAGCAUGCCACGGUGAAUACGUUCCCGGGCCUUGUACACACCGCCCGUA
rnacentral:rRNA from 1 species